rnacentral:rRNA from 1 species
UACGUAGGGUGCGAGCGUUAAUCGGAAUUACUGGGCGUAAAGCGUGCGCAGGCGGUUUCGACAAGUCUGAUAGUCGGAAAUCCCCGGGACUCGAACCUGGGAACUUGCGUUGGAAACUGUCGGGCUAGAGUGUAGAAGAGGGGGGUAGAAUUCCACGUGUAGCAGUGAAAUGCGUAGAGAUGUGGAGGAAUACCGAUGGCGAAGGCAGCCCCCU